UUUCCCCUGCGGUGUUCGACCAAGCCACGCGUUCCUUGAACCAAUGCCCAUUGGCACGGUUGCUAACCAUAGAGGUCGCCGUUGUGAUCGCUCUUCGCGAGCGAACCUGAAGCGACCGGAAGGCAGCCACUCUGAACCCAGGUUCAGAAUGCCGGCCCGAAACGGCACUCGCGGGGGAAAC
rnacentral:other from 1 species